rnacentral:rRNA from 1 species
GUAACACGUAAGAAUUUGCCUUUAGGAGGGGGACAACAACUGGAAACGGUUGCUAUACCCCAUAUGCUUUCGAGUGAAACGGUUUUUCCGCCUAAAGAGAAGCUGCGGCUGAUUAGCUUGUUGGUAAGGUAAUGGCUUACCAAGGCGACGAUCGUAUCUGGUUUGAGAGGACGAUCAGACACACUGGAACUGAGACACGGUCAGACUCCUACGGGAGGCAGCAGUGGGGAAUUUUYCGCAAUGGGCGAAAGCCUGACGGAGCAAUACCGCGUGAGGGAUGAAUGCCUAUGGGUUGAAACCUCUUUUUUCAGGGAGGAACAAAAUGACGUGUACCUGAAGAAUAACAUCGGCUAACUUCCGUGCCAACAGCCCGCGGUAAGACGGAGGAUGCAAGUUAUUCCGGAAAU